UGUUGCUGCCACAACAGGAGGAAAUCUCAUCAUCUGUCACCUUCAUCGGAGCUGGAGACACCACUUUGGACUGCUGAGUGCAGCUGGAUCCCAUUCCUUCUUGGAUUCUUGGAGUGCUCCCCACCCUGAGUUUGCUACAGGCUUGUGCAGCUCUUGAGACCCUCUGUUCCAGCACAUUGCAGGCUCAGGACCAUCCGGAAGAAGUAAAAGCCAGAUGGGCAUGGAUUAUAUUCCGUGGAUCACACAAGCUGGGAGCUGGAGGAGUGCAGCUGCAAACACAGGAGGGAAAUUGGGUCUUCUGUGAAGCACAGAUGGGUCCAUGGCCGGAUUUACCGUGGUGGCCAAAAAUCUGAGGAGGUGAGUGACCACUUGACAAGCCCAGGGAUGAGGUCUUCCUAAAAUCUGCAGAGAAGGGGAGCAGCUGUGGUUCUGCCGACCUGAAGAGGGAUUAAGGGAUGUGCUGAAAACCUCUCAAACGUGGUUCCUCAGACUUUCGGAAGGGAUGGCGGCGCUCCCAUCACAUCCAUGAGGAUAAAGGAGGGAUGCAGCAGAACAGGCACCAGCCCUCACCCCAAACUGCAUCUUCCUCCUGAAAAACAGUGCUGGGAAGAAGAAAUUCAUGGCUGGUAGGAGUCUGCUGUGUAACCACCACGGGAGGACAGAGAGAAGUGGCUUUGGGGUGUGGCAGAGCUGUGCCAAUACCCCACGAGCUACAACCUGAGCUGGGCUUUUGUUCUCAGCCCAAGCGGAGCACUUGUGAUAAUACAGCGCUGAUCUUCUCUGGGACGCUGUAAAGCCGGGAGCUGAUCUGGAUUGAACGUGUCAUUUGUAUUCCCACGCUGGUUUUGAACAAAUCUGUCAAAUCAAACCAAAAAAAGGAACAAAAAGAGGAGCGAUUGCAUAAGGAACUGCCUGGGCCGGCAGCCGCGGUCACCGAUGGCUCCGUGAGUUUGGUGUCCUCAGGGACAGGUCUGGGACAGGGAGCAGCAUCCCAGACCAGCAGCUGGGACCUCUCCAUAGGUUUGUCCAGAGUCUGCUGCUUCCUGCUGGUCCUCAGCAUCCUGCCAGCUUCGAGAGUGAAUCAGCUCCAUCUCUCCAGGCAAGGGCUGAGCUUUUUCUCACCCUCCUCCUGCCUUUUUGAUCUGGCUUUUAGAGAACCUCCUCACUCUGAGGAGAAUCUUUCCAUUUAUCCCAUUUUGGCGCUUUCUGAGCUACCAGAAAAGGCGUCUGCAGGCAGAGCAGCACCGUGGGCCCUUCCUCAAAUGCUCACAGAGGCGAGGGGCCUUGGGGAGAGGAAACACAGAUCUGCCAUCUGUGGCAACUCAGCGCUUACCAGUCAUUCUGCACCGGGACACUGUCACUCGGAAUUGAAUGUUGCUUCCUCUCCGUGGCCUGAGCAGCCUCCAAUUCCCAUCAAAUUGGCCCUGGCAUUCCCUAAUAAAACAGACACCCUGUGGCUGCACGAGUCACUCAGAGGGGCCAGGGAGGUCCCCUCUGGAGGGAGGCGUUCAGUUAAUUCAAGUUUUAUUGCAGUUCUGCAGUGCGGAGCCAUGCGGAGGAGGCUCGGUGGCUGUGCUGGGGUUUUAAAGGAGCAGCUGGGCAGGAAUUUGCCAGGGAUCCUGGCCGGGAGGAGCUGUGCUCUGCUGAGGGAGCAAAGUCCAGGGAAAUACAGGGAUGAGCAAGGAAUAGCGUGGGAUCACCUGGCAGCAAACACUGGAGGAGGAAAGGACAGAUCUGCCGUGGUGAGAGGGACACGGGGUGGCUCUGGGCACUUUGGGAAGUGAGAUUUGGGUGAGUCCUGCAAUCCAAGAGGAGUGUUCCUGGAGAAAAGGUGUUAGGUGAGGCCCACUGUCUUCAAGCACAAAUAUUUGUGCUCUCAAAUAAAAUUUUCUCUUGCAAACCCCACCUGAGGGCUGGCAGCAGAAGAGAAACUCUUCCAGA